CAGCCUCCCAAGUAGCUGGGAUUACAGGCAUGCACUGCCACACCCGGCUAAUUUUUUGUAUUUUUAGUAGAGACAGGGUUUCACUAUGUUGACCAGACUGGUCUCGAACUCCUGACUUCGUGAUCCGCCUGCCUCAGACUCCUAAAGUGCUGGGAUUACAGGCGUGAGCCACUGCCAAAAAAUUUUUUAAAAGUAGCUGGGCAUGGUGGUGGGUUCCUGUAGUCCCAGCUACUCCAGAGGCUCAUGUGGGAGGUUCACUUAAGCCCAGGAGUUUGAGGUUACAAUGAGCCAUGAUCCUGCCACUGCACUCCAGACUGGGCGACACAGCAAGACUCAGUCUCUAAAAAGAAAUAAUAAAUAAAUAAAUAGAUUAAGAAGUCACUGCAUGUUGCUAUGGAUAUACUAUUGAAUUUUAAAAGGUGGAGAAAGCCUCUCAUUUAUGUAAAGAAGUGGGGAGAAGUGGGGAGAAGAUACAUGUAGAAUCAGCUGUGUGACGCAUGAAAGACAUGCCCUAAACUUGGCUCCUGGUCACCUGUGGGGAAAGCAGAGAGCACCAGGAGGGGACAGGGACAGGAAGCUGACUCUCCUGGAAUAUACCUUGCUUGAUAAAUUUGAUGCAGGACCCAUAAUUUAAAAAGAAAAUUAAAUUUUAAAAAGUCAUCUCUCAAUAUCAAAAAUGAAACAAAUGAACCUAUGUCAUUCCUUUGGUGGCACAAUCACCCAGCGAAGAAGCACCCAGGUGGUUUUAAAAUGCAGUCAUUUGGCCGGGCGCGGUGGCUCACGCUUGUAAUCCCAACACUUUGGGAGGCCGAGGUGGGCGGAUCACAAGGUCAGGAGUUUGAGACCAGCCUGGCCAAUAAGGUGAAACCCCGUAUCUACUAAAAAUACAAAAAAAAAAAAAAAAAAAAAUUAGCCGGGCACGGUGGCAGGCGCCUGUAGUCCCAGCUACUCAGGAGGCUGAGGCAGGAGAAUUGCUUGAACCCAGGAGGCAGAGGUUGCAGUGAGCUGAGAUCGCGCCACUGCACUCUAGCCUGGGCGACAG
rnacentral:lncRNA from 10 species